CCUACGGGGAGCAGCAGUGGGGAAUAUUGGACAAUGGGCGAAAGCCUGAUCCAGCCAUGCCGCGUGUGUGAAGAAGGCCUUCGGGUUGUAAAGCACUUUCAGUGGGGAAGAAAGCCUUGGGGCUAAUACCCUCGAGGAAGGACAUCACCCACAGAAGAAGCACCGGCUAACUCCGUGCCAGCAGCCGCGGUAAUACGGAGGGUGCGAGCGUUAAUCGGAAUUACUGGGCGUAAAGCGCGCGUAGGCGGUCUGAUAAGCCGGUUGUGAAAGCCCCGGGCUCAACCUGGGAACGGCAUCCGGAACUGUCAGGCUAGAGUGCAGGAGAGGAAGGUAGAAUUCCCGGUGUAGCGGUGAAAUGCGUAGAGAUCGGGAGGAAUACCAGUGGCGAAGGUGGCCUUCUGGACUGACACUGACGCUGAGGUGCGAAAGCGUGGGUAGCAAACAGGAUUAGAUACCCUAGUAGUC
rnacentral:rRNA from 1 species